AGAGUUUGAUCCUGGCUCAGGAUGAACGCUAGCGGCAGGCUUAACACAUGCAAGUCGAGGGGCAGCAUAUCUAGCUUGCUAGAUGAUGGCGACCGGCGCACGGGUGCGUAACGCGUAUACAAUCUACCUAUUACUGAGGUAUAGCCCGAAGAAAUUUGGAUUAACACCUCAUAGUAUUAUUAAGUCGCAUGACUUAAUAAUUAAAGGUUACGGUAAUAGAUGAGUAUGCGUCCUAUUAGCUAGAUGGUGAGGUAAAGGCUCACCAUGGCUACGAUAGGUAGGGGUCCUGAGAGGGAGAUCCCCCACACUGGUACUGAGACACGGACCAGACUCCUACGGGAGGCAGCAGUGAGGAAUAUUGGACAAUGGGCGCAAGCCUGAUCCAGCCAUGCCGCGUGUAGGAAGACGGCCCUAUGGGUUGUAAACUACUUUUGUACGGGAAGAAAUCUCUCUACGUGUAGAGAGUUGACGGUACCGUAAGAAUAAGCACCGGCUAACUCCGUGCCAGCAGCCGCGGUAAUACGGAGGGUGCAAGCGUUAUCCGGAAUCAUUGGGUUUAAAGGGUCCGUAGGCGGGCUAAUAAGUCAGUGGUGAAAUGCAGGGGCUUAACUCCGGCACUGCCAUUGAUACUGUUAGUCUUGAAUUAUUGUGAAGUGGUUAGAAUAUGUAGUGUAGCGGUGAAAUGCUUAGAUAUUACAUAGAAUACCAAUUGCGAAGGCAGAUCACUAACAAUAUAUUGACGCUGAUGGACGAAAGCGUGGGUAGCGAACAGGAUUAGAUACCCUGGUAGUCCACGCCGUAAACGAUGGUUACUAGCUGUUCGGUACGAUUGAGUACUGAGUGGCCAAGCGAAAGUGAUAAGUAACCCACCUGGGGAGUACGU
rnacentral:rRNA from 1 species